CGACCCCAGGUCAGGCAGGGCCUCCCGCUGAGCUUAAGCAUAUAAAUAAGCGGAGGA
rnacentral:rRNA from 1 species